rnacentral:rRNA from 1 species
GACAGAGGGUGCAAACGUUGUUCGGAAUUACUGGGCGUAAAGCGUGUGUAGGCGGUCCGCUAAGUCGGGUGUGAAAGCCCUGGGCUCAACCCAGGAAGUGCACUCGAAACUGGCGGGCUAGAGUAUCGGAGAGGUUGGUGGAAUUCUCGGUGUGAGAGGUGAAAUUCGUAGAUAUCGAGAGGAACACCGGUGGCGAAGGCGGCCAACUGGACGAAUACUGACGCUGAGACACGAAAGCGUGGGGAGCAAACAGG